CACGUAGGCGGAUUGUUAAGUCAGGGGUGAAAUCCCGGAGCUCAACUCCGGAACUGCCUUUGAAACUGGCAAUCUUGAGUUCGGGAGAGGUGAGUGGAACUGCGAGUGUAGAGGUGAAAUUCGUAGAUAUUCGCAAGAACACCAGUGGCGAAGGCGGCUCACUGGCCCGAUACUGACGCUGAGGUGCGAAAGCGUGGGGAGCAAACA
rnacentral:rRNA from 1 species